rnacentral:miRNA from 3 species
AAGUUGCCCGUGUCUUUUUCG